rnacentral:rRNA from 1 species
GACGACGCUGGCGGCGUGCCUAAUACAUGCAAGUAGAACGAGUUGCGAACGGGUGAGUAACGCGUGGUAACCUGCCUCAUAGCGGGGGAUAACUAUUGGAAACGGUAGCUAAUACCGCAUACCAUCAGAUGUGCCCAGAUGGGAUUAGCUAGGAGGUGGGGUAGGGCUCACCUAGGCGACGAUCCCUAGCUGGUAUGAGAGGAUGACCAGCAACACUGGAACUGAGACACGGUCCAGACUCCUACGUGAGGCAGCAGUGGGGAAUAUUGCACAAUGGGCGCAAGCCUGAUGCAGCCAUUCCGCGUGUGUGAAGAAGGCCUUCGGGUUGUAAAGCACUUUCAGCGAGGAGGCGUUACUCGCAGAAGAAGCACCGGCUAACUCCGUGCCAGCAGCCGCGGUAAUUC